AGAAGAAGAAAGUGAGGAAUGAAAAUGGGAUUUCCAACCAUGGAUUGUUGUUGGGCAUGUAAUGUGAUAUUGGAGGCUUAGGACUGGAUCUAGUCUUCCAAUGUGUGGUAUGGGUAAUCGGGUCGAUGGAGCACUUCGAAAGGAUUACUUGAGUCAUGAGUCAUUUGCAGGCUACAAUACGAUGUUGUGGAUGCAGGUACAGAGACGAUAGAUGAGGAUCCUGUCGCCAUGUAUUUGGG